CUCGGGUGACGAGCGGCGGACGGGUGAGUAAUGUCUGGGAAACUGCCUGAUGGAGGGGGAUAACUACUGGAAACGGUAGCUAAUACCGCAUAAUGUCGCAAGACCAAAGUGGGGGACCUUCGGGCCUCAUGCCAUCAGAUGUGCCCAGAUGGGAUUAGCUUGUAGGUGGGGUAACGGCUCACCUAGGCGACGAUCCCUAGCUGGUCUGAGAGGAUGACCAGCCACACUGGAACUGAGACACGGUCCAGACUCCUACGGGAGGCAGCAGUGGGGAAUAUUGCACAAUGGGCGCAAGCCUGAUGCAGCCAUGCCGCGUGUGUGAAG
rnacentral:rRNA from 1 species